rnacentral:rRNA from 1 species
GUGAAUCAUCGAGUCUUUGAACGCAUAUUGCGCUCUUUGGUAUUCCGAAGAGCAUGCUUGUUUGAGUAUCAUUAAAUUAUCAACCUUGCUUGCUUUUACUAGCUCGCUCGGCUUGGAUGUGAGGGCUUUGCUGGCUUCCUUCAGUGGAUGGUCUGCUCCCUUUAAAUGCAUUAGUGGGAUCUCUUGUGGACCGUCACUUGGUCGUGAUAAUUAUCUAUGCCAGUUCGACUUUGAAGCAAAAUUAUGGGAACCCGCUUAUAACCGUCCGCAAGGACAACUCUUGACAUUUUGACCUCAAUCAGGUAGGACUACCCGCUGAACUUAAGCAUAUCAAUAAGGCGAGG